UACGUAGGGGGCGAGCGUUGUCCGGAUUUAUUGGGCGUAAAGAGCGUGUAGGCGGCCAGGUAGGUCUGCUGUGAAAACUCGAGGCUCAACCUCGAGACGUCGGCGGAAACCAUCUGGCUAGAGUCCGGAAGAGGAGAGUGGAAUUCCUGGUGUAGCGGUGAAAUGCGCAGAUAUCAGGAAGAACACCCGUGGCGAAGGCGGCUCUCUGGAACGGUACUGACGCUGAGACGCGAAAGCGUGGGGAGCGAACAGG
rnacentral:rRNA from 1 species